rnacentral:misc_RNA from 1 species
GAUGAAGAACGCAGCGAAAUGCGAUACGUAGUGUGAAUUGCAGAAUUCAGUGAAUCAUCGAAUCUUUGAACGCACAUUGCGCCCUUUGGUAUUCCAAAGGGCAUGCCUGUUCGAGCGUCAUUUACCCCUCAAGCACUGCUUGGUGUUGGGCGUCUGUCCCGCUUCGCGCGCGGACUCGCCCCAAAGGUAUUGGCAGCGGUCGUGCCAGCUUCUCGCGCAGCACAUUGCGCUUCUCGAGGCGGUCGAUCGGCGUCCACGAAGCUCACCUCCACCGUUUGACCUCGGAUCAGGUAGGGAUACCCGCUGAACUUAAGCAUAUCAAUAAGCGGAGGA